CAAAAGGUAGUUUAAAUAAAAUACUAAUUUUGGGGAUUAGUGAAAAAGAUAUUCUUUUCUUUUGA
rnacentral:tRNA from 1 species